rfam:Limnoraphis robusta CS-951 contig306, whole genome shotgun sequence.
GUAGCGGCUUUAUUAGAAGCCACUAAUACUUUGGGUCAAAGUUUGG